rnacentral:lncRNA from 1 species
CAAUAAAGAAAAGAAUAAUCAAAAGUAGAAAGAGAGUAUAGACAAUAAAAAUAAGAGAUGACAAGUCAUUUGGUUGAUAAAAUAAUAGAUCCAAUUGAAUAUUAGCAUUAAUGUAGGUUGCAAUGGGAAGAAGAAGAAGAGCAAAAAGGAUUGAAGUAGAAUGCAUUUGUAAGAUUUAGAAUUGAGCUUCAUCCAAAUAACAUCAAAGAUCUUACUAAAGCAUUUAAUGCUAAAUACACAAAGGUGAGAAAUAUUAGAUUUGCAGUUAUAUUAGAGAUUGAAUAAAGUCUUUAUGUAAAAAAUUAUUUCAGUAUGAUACUUAUUCAAAAGAAAAGUUACUUAAGUUAUAACCUUUUUUUUAUCAUGGUUUUGUUAACUUUUAUUUGUAAAGCACAUAUUAAAUAGUAUUAAAGAGUUUU